rnacentral:rRNA from 1 species
CGAGAAUCUUCGGCAAUGGGCGAAAGCCUGACCGAGCGACGCCGCGUGCGGGAUGAAGGUCUUCGGAUUGUAAACCGCUGUCAGAGGGGAUGAAGUUAUGGUGGGUUCUCCCUCCAUAUUGACAGAGCCUCAGAGAAGCACGGGCUAAGUAUGUGC